CCUCCUCUCCCCUCCCAUUCCCCAAUCUACCCUGAAUCCUCAAUCAAUUAGUAAAUAAAUAUUUAUGGAGCCUCUAGCAGGUAAUUGACAUGAAAUCAUGUCAUAAUUUUAUCACAUUACACUCUCACUUAUGAACUUAGAGUACCUCCCCACUGCCAAAUUAAUCAAAUUAAACCUCCUGCCAGAUUUCAAGACCAUCUAUCAUCUGGUGGCAUUCUAUCUCCACUCCCCUUUUUAACUGGCCUCGUCAGUCAGUUGUCCACAUGGCCACUCCUUCCUGACUAAUUUUAGUCUCUCACCUUCCCCCGUUUUUGUGUUGCCGUCUGAAGGGCUUCUAGGUCGAUUCCUGGUUUCACUUUAUCUAUUUUCCCAGGACUGAGCUAAACUGUGCCCUCUUCUGCCCAGUCAUCCUCAGCUACAGGGGGUUUCUCCUCUUUUCUGGAUUCUAACAGCCAAAUUCCCAAAUUCCAACUUUGUGUUUUCUCCCCUCUAAUGACAUUAUGUACCAAGCAAAAAUAAUUUAAAAAGAAAUCAAUAUCUGCUUUAAACUUUGCAUUGGAUAACUAUGAGAACCACACCAUCACUGUCACUGUCACCAUUCCUUCUUGUUAAGUAAAACAAAACUCAGGGAAUUCAAUCUACUUUCCCAUGAGCACUCAGUUAACUAGGGUUGAGGAACUUGCUUAUGCAAAUUCAGGUUUUCCUCAUUGGAGGGCCCCAUUACCCACGUGGGCCUCACAGUGAGAACUGAGAAGGUUUCCAGGCAAACAAGGGUCCUUGGUGGUGGAAAGAAGAACUCCCCAUUGGUGUGUGAAAAAGAAAGGCUUUCUCAGCUUGAUAAUCCACCCUCCUUACCAUAGGUAUUCCUAAACCCUUCUGAAACCUCAAAUGGCACUCAUUUUGGGGACCUCAGAACCUCUUUGGUCCGAUGGCUUGCAUAGUUUCUCCAGGAACCCUGUCGGUCCUGAAGCCCGGAGAAAAGGGUGCAUUUUCAGACACUGACCUCGGAAAGCUCAGACGCAAGGUUGUUUUGCUUGAAACCGAAAGUGAAAACUUCCUAUGACAUUUAAAACAUCCCUACGACAGGGCCUUUGUGAGCCGGUGUGGGCAAACCCACGCCGGUCCUGAGAAGUAUCGCCGACCAUUCUGCUGUCUGACUCACACAUUUCAGCAGGCACCCGGGUGGAACCAGCUCAGAUUGCAGCUCAUUAGCGCGGCCGAAUAGGAGUUUAAGGGAAAGUGUGUGGUAAACAAUGGAUUCCAAGGCUGCGGUGAAAGCAUGUCAGUGUUAUUCUUGAUGUGCAUUCAAAGGCAUUAAAGCCUCAAGUCGAAAUUCUUUGCUACCUGGAGAAUCUUUAUGCACAAGUGGAAACCCUUCCAUCAAGACACCAUGGCGACCCUCCCACAGACUUUUCUGUGAUGGUGCAGUGGAGAUUGGGAGGAUCUGGAUCGACUUAAUCCUUGCUGGCCAUGGGCUUUAACCCUCACCUCAGCAUGCAUACCCCCCUCUCUAUCCCCCGGGUUUCUGAAGAUAAAUGGGCAGAAUCUUUUAGGGUGCCAAGGACAGGACUGCGAACAGAUGGACUAAAACCAUGGCCUCAUCUUCCAGCGGAAAAAUAAGAGCCGGCUUCAUCUCAGUCAAAGGAUUUUCUGAACUGACCAUGAAGUAAGCGUCCCUUUAUCUGCAAGGCUACUGGUGAACAUGUGGUUCUUUCUUGUUCUAUGGAACCAAUGGAAAUUACUGCUUCCCUACGUCUGCACUUGGUUCUUCCUGUUUGCCUAUUUCUAUGGAAAAAUAUGUAUGCAUACAUAUAUUUACACAUAUGUUUGUACAUGUAUAUACAUAUAUGUAUCUGUAUAUGUACAUAACUAUACAAUCAUAUAUUACACACACACACAUUCUGACUACACAAAGCACACUCUUUCACAUCAUCUUCCCCUUCUUCUGAAUCCUGCUUUUUCUCACUAUACUUUCUUCUCAUUUGCAUAUAAAACAUUCCCCUCCAUGAGGGCCUGUACCCCCUUGGCCCAUCAUUAGACUGAAAUAUCGGCCCAGACUUGACGGCAUUCCUCACAGAAGACAAGAACCCUUUCCGUGUUUCUUCGGUUCACGCCUAGCUUCUCUUCCUCUGUCUUUACAUUUUCACCAACAGACUCCCACACAAGCUCUUCCAACAAAAUGCUUGCUGUGUAAUACCCUUCCUGGUGAGUGAGUUUUGAAAUGUGAGAUGCUACAGGCUUAGAGCCAAUUCCAUCCACUCUGGUACUUCCCCAGUUUGUGGGUUCUCUCUCCCUCCCCCCCCUCUCUAAUUUGGAUAUCACAUGAGAGUCACAGGCAAAGUAAAAAUUGGGGAAGGUGGGUAAAGUGUGGUAGCAGGCAAUGUAUGCCAAAGAAAGAAUUCCAAAGGGUAUAGGUAAAACUGACAAGGGGACAUUGGCUUCUGUGUGAGCUCAGGCUUUUGUUGUUGUUGUUUGUGGUGUCUUUUUGUUGGUUUUUGUUUUUCCCAUGCUGUGACAGAGCUCUCCCUUGGCUUGGCACACUGCUGUUUAAUAAAUCCCACAGUCAUAAAAACACAUCAGACAAUUUUUCUUCCUUCAAGGCAAAUCUAAUCUGGGCUCUUUCUUUGGUCCCACUCUCCCAUUUCCCUCUGACAUUAAAACAAGCCAUCAGUGUUUCAUUACAAUACAACUAUCAUCUCUGUGUGGUCAGCCGACCUUUCCGGGAGGCUUAACUCCUGUCAGUUUUGAAGAGAAGAAUAAAACACCAUGCAGUCAGCAGGCACAUCCUCACAAAAGAAAUGAAGACAUUUCUUCCAAGACAGGGUCAGGACCAUAGGGCCUUAGGCAGUACCUUUACCCCAGUGACUGUAGGGAGAAAGAAGGUUGGGGUGGGAGCCGGAGGCUGAGAGAAAGCCACAGCUCAAAAGAGCAGUAGAUUUUUAAAAAGCCCCAAAUGAAAUUAACUCCAUGGUCUCUUCUUACUCUGUAUAUUACUUUCAAAAAUUAAAUAUGACAGAAAGGAUGAAUGUGGACUUUGCUCAAAGAUGGUUAAUGGUGCAGUGUUUGGGACAGGGGACGGGACAGAGGAGGCAGUACCAUCUCUAUCUGUUCCGAUGCCAACAAACACUGAGAGGGAUGGAACAGAUGCAAGCAGGACAGGAAGCUGCUCCCCAGAAGCCACACCAAAUUUCCCAGUUAAAGGUUUCAUGAAAUGUGCACAUGGAGGGGACACAGGGGAAGAAAGAGAUAGUGGGAAUGGGAAUAUUUUGGAGGAAGAAGUUGUGGGGUUUCACAGCAUACCAAGGUAGCUGUAAUUUGUAACGAUUUAUAGGAUACUUAGUAAAGAACCAGAAAAGAGGUGCGUGAGGGCCCCCAACAUUCCCAUAAAAGAAUGAUAAAUGUUUAAGGAGGGAAAUGAGAACUGUGCCCAUUUGAUAAUUUCUUAGUGUAUACACUGAAUUCACUCCAUCCCAUGAACUCACAUAAUCCUUUAUGGGUCUACCAAACCCACAUAAAUUAAAAAAUAAGUUUCUGAACGUUGAGGACAGGGUUUGUCAGAGCUGUGAAGGCAGCGUGAACUGGAGUGAGCCUGUUUACCUGGGCCAGAUAGAGACACUCAUCUCCCCUCUUUUCUCCAUUAAUGUCCUCAGCCUCUUGCUAUAUCAUGACCAAGCAGUGAGGAGCUGUCAGUGUGGUCCAGUUAGGAUAAAAAGACCUGCUUAAGCAAUGGCAGUUCCUUCAUUCCCUGCAUUGCAUUGGGAGGCUAUGUUGAAGGCGACUUUCAGUGAGUCUAGUAGACAUUCAUUUAGUGCCGCGGAGAUAAGCAAAGUGAGGCAAAGAAAGGACCUGGUCUAGAAUGGUUCUCCUCCAGCUCUUGUUGACAUUUGAAUAGGGUUGUAGACACUUGGGGAUGUGGUCACGUGAUUACAAAGUAUAAAUACGCCUACUGUCUGGCUUCACAGGGACAUCCUAAGACACCGGAUCUGAAGGUGAAUGUGAUUUGGGAACCCCCAACCUUUCGGUGCUCCCCUAGGGACUAAGAGUCAUAUCGGUUCUUUCUUUCCUUUGCAUCAUUCUCAGUAGCGAGGGCUGUAGCUGAAUUACAUAGAUAUCAAUUAGACCCAGUGGAAGAUAAACCACCCUCAGUGCAAAACGGUUUUGCAGGAUGAGUUAUUCUUCAGAGUCCCCUUCAUAAUAUAUUUGAAAUAUAGAUUGAUGGUCGGCAUUACACACAUUACUCUCAUCUAUUAGGCAAGAGCCUGCCGUGUCUAUAAACUCAAUUUCCUCCAGCAUGGUAGCUUUCUGGGUUAUUUGGAUAAAUGUGAUGCUGUCCACUAUUGUUUAUCUCAGUAGUUCAUGAGGGAGCCAAAAACUUAAUGGUGUCAGAUGAGGGGGCGGAACAUCACCUCUGUUCUCAAUGGCUGCUUUUCUUCUCGGCACAUUGGUUGGAUGACCGAUUUAAGGCAUUGUGAGGAGUAUUACAGGUAAUCUGGUAGGCUGGGAGCCAGUCCUCUAUACUCUUCUAGUUUCUCCAUAUUUUACCGUCCUUGAUCUAGAAUUUCAUAGUCUUCAUUGUUGACUUAAUGCUUCUAAUUAGUUCUAUUCAGAGUCCAUGCAUUUUUCCUUUGGUUCUUAAACUUCUCCCAUCAUCCUCUUUGAUAUGAGUCCCCCCCCUUUUUUUUUGGCUCUGGACUUUGUACUUCUGAUGUCUCAAGAAGUGAAAGAUAACUAGAGGCCAGGUUUUUGUUUGUUUGGAUGAUUUAAAAAUUUAAAAUUUGGAAGGGAGGUGACAACGUUGUCAUUCGAUAACAGACUAGACAGAAAGAGACACAAAUGUCCUCACUUUCAGUGCAAUCCACCUUUCAGGGAAAGAAAACAGAUGAUGAUGGACCAUUGACUCAUACCAAUAAGUUAAUAAAAAGCUUUUUAGUACAGCUUCUGUCCCCUGACGUUCCUGAGAAAUAGGAAACCCACGCCUUUUAUCACUGUUAUGUGCCUGAUUAACAUUAGACUUCCAGUCACUUAUGCAAAACAUAACUUACCCCAGGCCUUUUAAACCUUCCUAUUAACUGUACACUUUUAUGGGGUUGCUUGUGAUGAACAGAGAAAAGUCAAAUAAAAAUGUCCCUGAUUCUGGGAUUGGUCAGCAGAUUCCUGAACACUGCAUUACCAAUCAAUCACUUGGCAAAAUAAAAUUUCAUGAUCAAUGGAAAGGCCACAAACUCACAAACGUAAGUCUAUAGACAUGCUCCUAAUAAAUUUUAGAUUAACAUAAAUUAGUAAUAGAUAAUAUUAGCAUACAACAUUAUAAGAUUUCUUCUCCCCUUUGGAAAGAGAGUAACCCCACAAUUCUCUCGAGAUUCAGGAAGUCUGGAAGUCUUGUUAUUAAAAGAAAAUUUAAAUACACAUACUCUAAAUUUAGCUAAUUCCCCCCAGAAGUCUAUGGUGAUAAAAUUUAGGACAUAAAGUAGCUUUAAAACCAGUUUUUUUUAAAUGCAUCUAAUUCCCAGGCACUUCCGAACUUCCUGGAAGGAUUUCAAUGCGUUUAUUGGGGCCUGAAGAACAGGAGGCGAUGGGCUUGCUUGCCACUCCCUUCUCUCUGGGGAACAGAAGCCCGUCUAAUCUAAACUUCAUUAAGGUGACUUUAAAGCGCUUAUGGUGUAAUAUAAGUCAGCAAACGGAGAGAAUUGCAUCAUGGCCGCCCAGGCAAAAGUAAGGUAAUAUGUCCUUCUUUUCUAAAGAUCGCAGUCCCCAGGGGAGAGGCAAACGUGUUUGCACAAAUCUUCCCACAAAUGACCUAACUUGACUGAAAACCCAGCCCAAGGGAAGGGCCUUCCCUAGCAGCUGUGAAGAAAACCAUGAUGAAAAGACUUGCAAAGACAGGGGCAAAGUUCCCCCUCCCUUCUUACCCAUACCUUUGUUUUUGAGCAGCAAAAAGCUUUUGAAAUACGCUGCAUGUUCCAUUUUUUAUAAAUUUCUCUCUGGUUAUAAGAGAGGAGGAUAGGA
rnacentral:sRNA from 1 species